AGUUUGUUGUUUUUUAUUAUAAAUGUUUUCUGCCCGGUGUUAAAGUUGAACGGCCGCGGUAUUUUGACCGUGCAAAGGUAGCAUAAUCAUUUGCCCUUUAAUUGGGGGCUGGAAUGAAUGAAAGUUUGAAAUUCUAACUGUCUCUUUUUUAUUUUAUAAUUUGCUGUUUUUAUGAAGAAGUAUGGGUUGUGGAGAAGGACAAGAAGACCCUUUUAAGCUUUAUUUUUAUUUUUUUGUCUUUUCUUUUAAGUAUAAUGAUAGUAAUUAGUAAAAUUUGGUGGGGUGAUUGGAAGAGACAGAAUCUUUUCUGGAUAUAUAAACUUUGUGUUUUAGUUGAACCAAGAUUUUUUGGUUGAUAGAAUAAGUUACUAAAGGGAUAACAGCGUAAUCUUUUCAGAGAGUUCUUAUUGAAGAGAGGGAUUGCGACCUCGAUGUUGACUUGUUUUAUCCUUGGAAGGGCAGA
rnacentral:rRNA from 1 species